rnacentral:piRNA from 1 species
UCCCUUGUUUGGGCCUACAUUGGGUACA